CCUUAGAGUUUGAUCCUGGCUCAGGAUGAACGCUAGCUACAGGCUUAACACAUGCAAGUCGAGGGGCAGCAUUUUAGUUUGCUUGCAAACUGAAGAUGGCGACCGGCGCACGGGUGAGUAACACGUAUCCAACCUGCCGAUAACUCCGGGAUAGCCUUUCGAAAGAAAGAUUAAUACCGGAUGGCAUACGAAUAUCGCAUGAUAUUUUUAUUAAAGAAUUUCGGUUAUCGAUGGGGAUGCGUUCCAUUAGUUUGUUGGCGGGGUAACGGCCCACCAAGACUACGAUGGAUAGGGGUUCUGAGAGGAAGGUCCCCCACAUUGGAACUGAGACACGGUCCAAACUCCUACGGGAGGCAGCAGUGAGGAAUAUUGGUCAAUGGGCGAGAGCCUGAACCAGCCAAGUAGCGUGAAGGAUGAAGGCUCUAUGGGUCGUAAACUUCUUUUAUAUGGGAAUAAAGUUUUCCACGUGUGGAAUUUUGUAUGUACCAUAUGAAUAAGGAUCGGCUAACUCCGUGCCAGCAGCCGCGGUAAUACGGAGGAUCCGAGCGUUAUCCGGAUUUAUUGGGUUUAAAGGGAGCGUAGGUGGAUUGUUAAGUCAGUUGUGAAAGUUUGCGGCUCAACCGUAAAAUUGCAGUUGAAACUGGGAGUCUUGAGUACAGUAGAGGUGGGCGGAAUUCGUGGUGUAGCGGUGAAAUGCUUAGAUAUCACGAAGAACUCCGAUUGCGAAGGCAGCUCACUAGACUGUCACUGACACUGAUGCUCGAAAGUGUGGGUAUCAAACAGGAUUAGAUACCCUGGUAGUCCACACAGUAAACGAUGAAUACUCGCUGUUUGCGAUAUACAGUAAGCGGCCAAGCGAAAGCAUUAAGUAUUCCACCUGGGGAGUACGCCGGCAACGGUGAAACUCAAAGGAAUUGACGGGGGCCCGCACAAGCGGAGGAACAUGUGGUUUAAUUCGAUGAUACGCGAGGAACCUUACGCGGGCUUAAAUUGCAACAGAAUAUAUUGGAAACAGUAUAGCCGUAAGGCUGUUGUGAAGGUGCUGCAUGGUUGUCGUCAGCUCGUGCCGUGAGGUGUCGGCUUAAGUGCCAUAACGAGCGCAACCCUUAUCUUUAGUUACUAACAGGUCAUGCUGAGGACUCUAGAGAGACUGCCGUCGUAAGAUGUGAGGAAGGUGGGGAUGACGUCAAAUCAGCACGGUCCUUACGUCCGGGGCUACACACGUGUUACAAUGGGGGGUACAGAAGGCGGCUACCUGGUGACAGGAUGCUAAUCCCAAAAACCUCUCUCAGUUCGGAUCGAAGUCUGCAACCCGACUUCGUGAAGCUGGAUUCGCUAGUAAUCGCGCAUCAGCCAUGGCGCGGUGAAUACGUUCCCGGGCCUUGCACACACCGCCCGUCAAG
rnacentral:rRNA from 1 species